rnacentral:rRNA from 1 species
AGUGAACGCUGGCGGUAGGCCUAACACAUGCAAGUCGAACGGCAGCACAGUAAGAGCUUGCUCUUACGGGUGGCGAGUGGCGUACGUGUGAGGAAUACAUCGGAAUCUACUUUUUCGUGGGGGAUAACGUAGGGAAACUUACGCUAAUACCGCAUACGACCUACGGGUGAAAGCAGGGGAUCUUCGGACCUUUCGCGAUUCUAUGAGCCGAUGCCGGAUUAGCUAGUUGGCGGGGUAAAGGCCCACCAAGGCGAGGAUCCGUAGCUGGACUGAGAGGAUGAUAAGCAACACUGGAACUGAGACAAGGUCCAGACUCCUACGAGAGGCAGAAGUGGGACAUAUUGGAAAAUGGGCGCAAGCCUGCUCGAGACAUACCGCGUGAGUGAAAAAGGCCUUCGGGUUGGAAAGCUCUUUUGUUGGGAAAGAAAAGCAGCAGGUUAAAACCCCGCUGUUCUGACGGUACAAAAAGAAUAAGCACCGGCUAAAUUCGUG